CCGAGAACAAGUGACACGACUCCUUCAGGAAGUGGAUGAACUGAUGAUCCAGAAUGAAAACCGUCACUUCAGCAGUGAGGUUACACAGAUAAUGCAGCAGGCUCAGAGGAUUAUAGAGGAGAGGCGGAGAUGAAGGAGCAGGAGAACUCUGUAAAAAUGGAGCAGAUUAAAGCAUCUCUGAAGAAGCUGAAGAGCAGGAACAGAAAGCAGAAAAGAGAAAUUUGGGCACGAUUCCCAUCGUCUCGAAGCCAGCUGUCCAGCAGAAGCUCCAAUUACAGAAACAAACCCAGUCAGACCAUUCCUUUACCCUUUCACACCUCAAAUCCUCCGGUGAGCAAUGAUCUGCGUCUGGUUCUGCUGGGAAAAACCGGCGCAGGGAAAAGCGCAACCGGGAACACAAUCCUGGGAGAGAAACGCUUCAAUGAUGAUCUGAGCAUGAGUUCAGUCACUAAAGAGUGUCAGAGAGAAAACACAAGCACUGAAGGACGAAACCUGCUGCUGGUGGACACACCGGGGUUCUUCGACACCGAUUUAACAGAAGAACAGGUUCAACAUGAAGUGAUCAGCUGCCUAUCUUUGAGUUCUCCUGGUCCUCAUGCGUUUCUUCUGGUUAUACCGAUAGAGAGAUACACAGAAGAGCAGCAGCGAACCGUACAGAAGAUCCUGGAGAUGUUUAAUGAAGACAUCAGCCGAUACACCAUCCUCAUAUUCACACACGCUGACAGACUUAAUGGAGGAUCCAUUCAAGAGUUCAUAAUGAAGCAAAAGCAGAAGAUACAGGAGCUCGUGGAGAAAUUCGGAAGCCGUUUCGUGGCCUUCAACAACAAAAACCUUGAAAACCGAGAACAAGUGACACGACUCCUUCAGAAAGUGGAUGAACUGAUGAUCCAGAAUGAAAACCGCCACUUCAGCAGUGAGGUUACACAGAUAAUGCAGCAGGCUCAGAGGAUUAUAGAGGAGAGAGUGCAGAAAAUGAAGGAGGAGGUGAGGAGAAUGGCUGAUGAUCGCUGGGCUGCAUUCACUGCAUCACUAAAUAAAGAAAAACAAGAAAUGGACAGAGAAAAGAAAUGUAGACAAGACAAGAUCAAGCAGAUUGAGGCGGAUAUAAAGAAGGAAGAACAGAAAAUACAGCAGCUCAGGGUGAAUCUGUGGAACGAGCAGCAGAAAAUGAGAGGAUUUCUGGAGAGAGAAAGAAUUGGAGAGAAAGAAAGAGAUAGAAGACAAGAAGAAGAAAAGAGGAAAAUUGAGAUCUGGGUCCAGGAGGAGGAGCAGAGGAGGCUGGGAGGAGAAGAAGAGCAGCAGAAUCUGCUUCAUUCAGAGAAAUACAGGAAGAUUCUGGCGAUGCUCUCUCUGUUUUUGAUGGGUGUUGGAGCUGGAUAUGCUCCUGCACUCUUGGCAUUUCUGUUCCCUGCGGCUCCGGUGGCUGAAGCCGGAUUGGCGGCUGAGAUUUUGGCCAGCUUGUUGGGUUCAGGAGGUUUUGCUUUAAAAUUCAUUGGACCUGCUAUGGCUGGUGCUGCUAGAGUGGCAGCGAUGACCCAAUGCACCAUCCAAUGAUUCAUUCUCAUGUGAAAACCAUGCAGAGUCCUCAUUUAAAAAUCACAAUUAUGUUCUUUUAGUCUUUUCUUAACCCUUGUGUGCUGUUGGGUUGUUUUCAUCCACUCUGGGCUGAUUUUUGGGUCUUAAUAUGGGACACAACUUUCUCUGUGUUUGACAGCCAUGUCAAGUCAUGACAGCAUCUGAUGGAGCAUUCUUAAUUGUUGCUGGGGAGGAGGAAGAGGUACCAGUCAUUUUUACUGUUGAUCAUCAGUUGCAGUGCAAAAAAAAAAAGCAUAGUUUCUGACGUUUAUAUGGAGUUAUAAAGAAUAAAGUGUUUGUUUGUUUGUUUGUUUGUUUGUUUGUUUGUGUGUGUGUGAAAGAGAGAGAGAGAGAGACUUUGCACAGUUACCUUGACAUGUGUGAGAAACUCCAAAUGCACCUCUCAGCUGUCAGAACACAGUAAGUGUAUUUCUGCACACACACUGUAAUCUGCUGCUUUACUCCACUGAACUAAAAGACAAACUCUUCAGCACAGGCCGAUCUAAAGGGUUAAUGCUGCACACUGAUGAUCAACAGUAACAAUUACACAUCGUCCCUCUUCCCAACAGAAAAAACCAACAGCAAUGAAAAAUGCAUGAUUACAUGCUGCCAUGGCUUUACAAUCAAUAAAUAUCAUUAUAAUGCAAGUCAUUGGGGCAAAAACAGACACCAACAUCACCAAAGGGGAGUCAAUUUGAAUACUGUACAACUGUGUUGAGGAAAGUUACUUUUUGAAUGUAAUGCAUUACAAUAUUGAGUUUCUCCCCUUAAAAAAACUAGCUUACUUGGUUACUUUUUAUGGUAAAUAAUGUGUUACAUUACUUUUGAGCUAAUUUUGCGUUACUUUUUCUUACCAGGCUGAGGCUUGAUCUCUUUCAGAAAUUGCUGUUUUUAUUUCUUUUUUAAUAGAGGAGCUCUCUACUUCACUUAAUACUUCAUCUAAUACUUCACCUAGGGUAUAGUUUUUUGUAAGUCCAAUCAGGGAUUAGCACAUCAUACUAAAAUGUACGAAUAAGAUUCUACAAAUUAGCUACUAAAUUAAAAAAGUUGGGAAUUAGUGCGAGAUCAACUUACGAUUCUACUAAAUAUUGCUCUGUCUUAUGUAAAGCACUUUGGUCAGUCUUGUGGCUGUUUUUACAUGUGGUUUAGAAAUGAACUUGAUUUUAAUAUAUUGUUUCAAUUAAAAUUAAGGCUAUGGUGUUAAACAAACUUGUUUGUUUGCUUAUUUAUUAAUAGGCUACUUACCCAAAUUAACUGGCUAAGCUUGUAUUUUGACCCCUGAACAGUGGAAAUGUGCUUAUAUCAAUACACUUUUUGAAGACACGUUUCAGUGUAAACAAUAGACUGUUUAUUAGCUGUGUGUUUAAGUUUAUGUUUUGCUUAAUUUGUGUAUUUCAAGCUAGUCAGUUUCAUCCUAUUAGAAUUAAAGCAAAAUGUAAAAAAUGUC